AAACGACUCUCGGCAACGGAUAUCUCGGCUCACGCAUCGAUGAAGAACGUAGCAAAAUGCGAUACUUGGUGUGAAUUGCAGAAUCCCGUGAACCAUCGAGUUUUUGAACGCAAGUUGCGCCCGAAGCCAUUUGGCCGAGGGCACGCCUGCCUGGGCGUCACGC
rnacentral:rRNA from 3 species